rnacentral:rRNA from 1 species
AACGCUGGCGGCGUGCCUAAUACAUGCAAGUCGAGCGAACAGAUGAGAAGCUUGCUUCUCUGAUGUUAGCGGCGGACGGGUGAGUAACACGUGGGUAACCUACCUAUAAGACUGGGAUAACUCCGGGAAACCGGGGCUAAUACCGGAUAAUAUAUUGAACCGCAUGGUUCAAUGUUGAAAGACGGUUUCGGCUGUCACUUAUAGAUGGACCCGCGCCGUAUUAGCUAGUUGGUAAGGUAACGGCUUACCAAGGCAACGAUACGUAGCCGACCUGAGAGGGUGAUCGGCCACACUGGAACUGAGACACGGUCCAGACUCCUACGGGAGGCAGCAGUAGGGAAUCUUCCGCAAUGGGCGAAAGCCUGACGGAGCAACGCCGCGUGAGUGAUGAAGGUCUUAGGAUCGUAAAACUCUGUUGUUAGGGAAGAACAAAUUUGUUAGUAACUGAACAAGUCUUGACGGUACCUAACCAGAAAGCCACGGCUAACUACGUGCCAGCAGCCGCGGUAAUACGUAGGUGGCAAGCGUUAUCCGGAAUUAUUGGGCGUAAAGCGCGCGUAGGCGGUUUCUUAAGUCUGAUGUGAAAGCCCACGGCUCAACCGUGGAGGGUCAUUGGAAACUGGGGAACUUGAGUGCAGAAGAGGAGAGUGGAAUUCCAUGUGUAGCGGUGAAAUGCGCAGAGAUAUGGAGGAACACCAGUGGCGAAGGCGGCUCUCUGGUCUGUAACUGACGCUGAUGUGCGAAAGCGUGGGGAUCAAACAGGAUUAGAUACCCUGGUAGUCCACGCCGUAAACGAUGAGUGCUAAGUGUUAGGGGGUUUCCGCCCCUUAGUGCUGCAGCUAACGCAUUAAGCACUCCGCCUGGGGAGUACGACCGCAAGGUUGAAACUCAAAGGAAUUGACGGGGACCCGCACAAGCG